UUCUUUGCGCAGAGGCGGUGUCGUACCCAAUGGAGUUCAUACUGAGGGGCGACUAUUGCUAGCUGAAUUUUUUUUUUUCGUUUUCUUGGACACUGUGGAUUUCCCUAGCUGUGUUGUGUACCACAUAUCUAGCAAUUGGUGAA